rnacentral:rRNA from 1 species
CCUACGGGUGGCAGCAGUGAGGAAUAUUGCACAAUGGAGGAAAGCCUGAUGCAGCGACGCCGCGUGAGGGAAGAGGGAUCUCGGUAUGUAAAGCUCUAUCUGCAGGGAAGAAAAUGACAGUACCUGACCAAGAAUGCACGUCUAACUACGUGCAAGCAGGCGCGGUAAUACGGCGGGGGCCAGCGUUAUCCGGAUUUAGUGGGUGUAAAGGGUGCGUAGACGGUUAUAUAAGUCUGUAGUGAAAGCCCGGGGCGCAACCUCGGAACUGCCUUUGAAACUGUGUAACUGGAGUGCAGGAGCGGUAGGCGGAAUGCCUGGUGUAGCGGUGAAAUGCUUAGAUAUCAGGAGGAACACCGAUGGCGAAGGCAGCUUGCCGGGCUAAAUCUGACGUUGAGGCUCGAAAGCGUGGGGAGCAAACAGGAUUAGAUACCCUAGUAGUC